CAUAGACUUGGUCCCAAUCUUAUUGUUAUUUUUCACUAAACUUACACAUGCAAGCAUCAACACCCCCGUGAGAACGCCCAAACACCCUACACUAAAAACAGGACAAAAAGGAGCAGGUAUCAGGCCCACCAUGAUAGCCCAAAACACCUAGCAACGCCACACCCCCAAGGGACUCCAGCAGUGAUAGAAAUUAAGCAAUGAGCGAAAGCUUGACUUAUUUAUAGUAAACGCAGGGCCGGUCAAUUCUUGUGCCAGCCACCGCGGUUAAACAAAAGGCCCAAAAUAACCCCAACAGCGGCGUAAAAUGUGGCUUAAAUCAAUCAAAACAAUUAAGAUAGACUACAAACUUUUCUGUUAUAAGUUAAAGUACACUCUAUCACAAUGUGAAAACAAUCUUAAUACACCGACCAAUUUGAACCCACGAUAGCUAAGGCGCAAACUGGGAUUAGAUACCCCACUAUGCUUAGCCCUAAACAUAGAUUUUUUCCAUACAUAAAAAUCCGCCAGAGAACUACUAAUCAUACAUUUAAAACUCAAAGGACUUGGCGGUGUCUCAAACCCAACUAGAGGAGCCUGUUCUACAAUCGAUAAUCCACGAUCUACCUCACCACCCAUAGCCAAUCAGCCUAUAUACCUCCGUCUUCAGCCUACCUUGUGAAAGCAUAAAAGUAAGCGUAAUAGUCAAAAAACACUAACAAGUCAGGUCAAGGUGUAGCCAAUGGGGUGGAAGAAAUGGGCUACAUUUUCUACCAUAGAAAUACUUUUAACGGAAAGGGUCCUGAAACAGACCCAAAAAGCAGGAUUUAGCAGUAAUGUAAGAACAGAGAGCCUACAUUAAUUAGGACCUGAGACGCGUACACACCGCCCGUCACCCUCAUCAAAAAACAACCAACCAUAAAUAAGCCACCAAAAAAACGUAUAAAGAUGAGGUAAGUCGUAACAUGGUAAGUAUACCGGAAGGUGUACUUGGAA
rnacentral:ncRNA from 1 species